rnacentral:rRNA from 1 species
UACGUAGGGUGCAGGCGUUAAUCGGAAUUACUGGGCGUAAAGCGUGCGCAGGCGGUCUUUUAAGUCAGAUGUGAAAUCCCCGGGCUUAACCUGGGAACUGCGUUUGAAACUGGAAGGCUAGAGUGUGGCAGAGGGGGGUGGAAUUCCACGUGUAGCAGUGAAAUGCGUAGAUAUCGUUUGGAACGCCAAUGGUGAAAACAGACAGCUGGGAGUGUGCUGACGCUGAGACACGAAAGCCAGGGGAGCGAACGGG